rnacentral:rRNA from 1 species
GUACGAAGGGGGCGAGCGUUGUUCGGAUUUACUGGGCGUAAAGGGCGCGUAGGCGGCGGGUCAAGUCGAGUGUGAAAGCCCCGGGCUCAACCUGGGAAUUGCGCUCGAGACUGGUCUGCUUGAGUUCGGGAGAGGAGAGUGGAAUUCCCAGUGUAGAGGUGAAAUUCGUAGAUAUUGGGAAGAACACCGGUGGCGAAGGCGGCUCUCUGGACCGAGACUGACGCUGAGGCGCGAAAGCGUGGGGAGCAAACAGGG